UACGUAGGCAGCAAGCGUUGUUCGGAGUUACUGGGCGUAAAGGGUGCGUAGGCGGCCCUGUAAGUAUGGUGUGAAAUCUCCCGGCUUAACUGGGAGGGUGCGCUAUAGACUGCGGGGCUCGAGUGUGGGAGAGGACAGUGGAAUUCCUGGUGUAGCGGUGAAAUGCGUAGAUAUCAGGAGGAACACCGGUGGUGUAAACGGCUUUCUGGACCAUAACUGACGCUGAGGCACGAAAGCGUGGGUAGCAAACAGG
rnacentral:rRNA from 1 species